rnacentral:RNase_P_RNA from 1 species
AAAGCAGACCAUGCGGCUGCCCUUGUCAAGGCAGGGGAGGAAAGUCCGAGCUCCAUAGGGCAGGACGGUUGUUAACGGCAACCGGGGGUGACCCCAGGGAAAGUGCCACAGAAAAUACACCGCCCACAAACCACACUUCCACCGUGGGUAAGGGUGAAAUAGUGAGGUAAGAGCUUACUGUUCCCUGUGGCGACACAGGGGAGAGGUAAACCCCGUCCGGAGAAAGGUUGAAUAGGUUUCACCCCACCGCAGAGUGCCCACUCUGUUGCCGGAACGCCGGCAAGGUGAAACGGGUAGCAACCGCACAAGGCCGAUAGCAAUAUCGCUCGCCUCAGACGAAUGGUCGCAUAACACAGAACUCGGCUUACGGUCUGCUUUAUAA